rnacentral:rRNA from 1 species
GCUCUUGACACUCUUCGGAGGAGAUGGAGAAUCGAUGAUACUGUCGUGCCAAGAAAAGCCACUAAGUUUAUUAUAUGUUGCCCGUACCGUAACCGACACAGGUGGGUGGGAUGAGUAUUCUAAGGCGCGUGGAAGAACCCUCUUUAAGGAACUCUGCAAAAUAGCACCGUAUCUUCGGUAUAAGGUGUGCCUACUUUGGUAUAUGGACUUGCUCCAAAAAGCUAGAGAGGUUGCAACAAAGAGUCCCUCCCGACUGUUUACCAAAAACACAGCACUUUGCUAACACGUAAGUGGAUGUAUAAGGUGUGACGCCUGCCCGGUGCUCGAAGGUUAACUGAUGAUGUCAGCGCAAGCGAAGCAUUUGAUUGAAGCCCGAGUAAACGGCGGCCGUAACAAUAACGGUCCUAAGGUAGCGAAAUUCCUUGUCAGUUAAAUACUGACCUGCAUGAAUGGCGUAACGAGAUGGGAGCUGUCUCAAAGAGGGAUCCAGUGAAAUUGUAGUGGAGGUGAAAAUUCCUCCUACCCGCGGAAAGACGGAAAGACCCCGUGCACCUUUACUACAGCUUGACACUGUAGCUUGGAUAUUCAUGUGCAGGAUAGGUGGGAGGCUAUGAUGACUAGACGCAAGUAGAGUCGGAGCCAUCCUUGAGAUACCACCCUUGAAUAUUUGAGUUACUAACUGCGAUGAGUUAUCCUCAUUCAGGACAAUGUCUGGUGGGUAGUUUGACUGGGGCGGUCGCCUCCUAAAUAGUAACGGAGGCUUACAAAGGUUAGUUCAAAGCGGUUGGAAAUCGCUUGUUGAGUAUAAUGGCAUAAACUAGCUUGACUGUGAGACCUACAAGUCGAACAGAGACGAAAGUCGGUCAUAGUGAUCCGGUGGUUCUGUGUGGAAGGGCCAUCGCUCAAAGGAUAAAAGGUACGCCGGGGAUAACAGGCUGAUCUCCCCCAAGAGCUCACAUCGACGGGGAGGUUUGGCACCUCGAUGUCGGCUCAUCGCAUCCUGGGGCUGUAGUCGGUCCCAAGGGUAUGGCUGUUCGCCAUUUAAAGCGGUACGCGAGCUGGGUUCAGAACGUCGUGAGACAGUUCGGUCCCUAUCUUCCGUGGGCGUAGGAAAGUUGAAGAGAUUUGUCCCUAGUACGAGAGGACCGGGAUGAACCAACCACUGGUGUACCAAUUGUUCUGCCAAGAGCAUCGUUGGGUAGCCACGUUGGGAUGUGAUAAGAGCUGAAAGCAUCUAAGCUCGAAGCCAACUCUAAGAUGAACUUUCCCUGAAGUUCCCAGCAAGACUAGCUGGUUGAUAGGCUGGAUGUGUAAUGGGUGUAAGCCCUUUAGCUGACCAGUACUAAUAGAACGUUUGGC